AGUGCGCACGCGCUCCGCCACGCGGACCCUGGGUGGGAGGCGGGGUAGAGGGCUAAACUUGGAGGGGGAGGAGCCCAGCGUGCUCUCGGACAACUGGCGUUGGACGGGCUGCGGAGCAUGCGUUCGCCCCGCCUUAGCAGUAAAAUUGCCUUCAAGACACAACCUGUAGCAAAGAAGUCUAUGAAGCCUGAUAACCUGAAGCUCUUACCAACGUGAGCAGCUUGGUGAGCACAAGGCCUUCCUGGCUCCAUACCCUGACACAAUCUUCACCCAUCCUAGGGCUCAGGGUGGCAUUUCCUACUCCCUCCUCCGAGCAGGAUAUGGGUGGCUGGCUGGAGGGCAGAAGUCCUGGAGCAGCACUAAAAUACA